rnacentral:rRNA from 1 species
CCUACGGGAGGCAGCAGUAGGGAAUUUUCCGCAAUGGGCGAAAGCCUGACGGAGCAAUACCGCGUGAGGGAUGACUGCCUAUGGGUUGUAAACCUCUUUUUUCAGGGAGGAAUAAAUGACGUGUACCUGAAGAAUAAGCAUCGGCUAACUCCGUGCCAGCAGCCGCGGUAAGACGGAGGAUGCAAGUGUUAUCCGGAAUCACUGGGCGUAAAGCGUCUGUAGGUGGCUCAACAAGUCAACUGUUAAAUCUUGAAGCUCAACUUCAAAAUCGCAGUCGAAACUAUUGAACUAGAGUAUAGUAGAGGUAAAGGGAAUUUCCAGUGGAGCGGUGAAAUGCGUAGAGAUUGGAAAGAACACCAAUGGCGAAGGCACUUUACUGGGCUAUUACUGACACUCAGAGGCGAAAGCUAGGGUAGCAAAUGGGAUUAGAUACCCCAGUAGUCCUAGCCGUAAACAAUGGAUACUAGGUGUUGAACAGAUCGACCUGUGCAGUACUAAAGCUAACGCGUUAAGUAUCCCGCCUGGGAAGUAUGCACGCAAGUGUGAAACUUAAAGGAAUUGACGG